rnacentral:rRNA from 1 species
CGCGUAGGCGGAUAUUUAAGUUAGAGGUGAAAGCCCAGGGCUCAACCCUGGAAUAGCCUUUAAUACUGGAUAUCUUGAGUUCGGGAGAGGUGAGUGGAACUCCGAGUGUAGAGGUGAAAUUCGUAGAUAUUCGGAAGAACACCAGUGGCGAAGGCGACUCACUGGCCCGAUACUGACGCUGAGGCGCGAAAGCGUGGGGAGCAAACA